rnacentral:rRNA from 1 species
AGCAGCCGCGGUAAUUCCAGCUCCAAUAGCGUAUAUUAAAGUUGUUGCAGUUAAAAAGCUCGUAGUUGAAUUUUGGGUCUGGCCGGGCGGUCCGCCCUCUGGGUGAGCACUGUUCCGACGCCGGGCCUAUCCUUCUGGUGAGUCGGCAUGUCCUUUAUUGGGUGUGUCGGGGAACCAGGACCAUUACCUUGAAAAAUUAGAGUGUUCAAAGCAGGCGUAUGCUCGAAUACAUUAGCAUGGAAUAAUGAAAUAGGACGCGUGGUGCUAUUUUGUUGGUUUCUAGAACCGCCGUAAUGAUUAAUAGGGAUAGUUGGGGGCAUUAGUAUUCAAUUGUCAGAGGUGAAAUUCUUGGAUUUAUUGAAGACUAACUUCUGCGAAAGCAUUUGCCAAGGAUGUUUUCAUUAAUCAAGAACGAAAGUUAGGGGAUCGAAGACGAUCAGAUACCGUCGUAGUCUUAACCAUAAACUAUGCCGACUAGGAAUCGGGCGAUGUUAUUCUCAUGACUCGCCCGGCGCCUUAU